CUUCUGCAGACAGCUCCUGUUCAUAUCUGUGAUCAAGAUUUACUGAACUCCCACCAAGAUGUCCUGCCAGCAAAGCCAGCAGCAGUGCCAGGCCCCUAAGUGUUCCCCUAAGUGUCCUCCUAAGUGUCAGACACCCAAGUGUCCUCCCAAGUGUCCUCCCAAGUGCCCUCCCCAGGCUCCAUGCCCUCCUCCAGUGUCUUCCUGCUGUGGCUCUAGCUCUGGAGGAUGCUGCAGCUCCGGGGGAUGCUGUGGGUCCAGCUCUGGGGGAUGCUGCAGCUCUGGCUCUGGGGGUGGCUGCUGCCUCUUUUCCCAUCAUAGGAGAUCCCACAGACACAGACACCAGAGGUCUGACUGCUGUGACAAUGGUAGUGGGCACAGCCAGCAGUCUGGGGGCUGCUGUGGUAGCUCUGGGAGCUGCUGCUGAUCUGGUGUCCUGACCCAAGAAGAGCAGAAGAGUCAAUCAAGUGACUGCAUAUGUUUUUUCUUCCUUCUUCUGGACUGGACUGUUCUUGGGAGAUGGAGACAAUUGAGGCCUAUCAUUUCAUUUUCUCUGGAAUCCCCAGAAUUAAAACCAUCCUUCUCUUCCUCAUUUUCCUCAAGCAACAAUAAAGAUUUAUUUUUUUCCUCA